rnacentral:pre_miRNA from 1 species
CGGAAGUUAGAAACUGUUUCUUAACUUUUAACUAAAAAAGUUAAGAAUCGGUUCUUAAAAUCCCUAUUUAAGAACCGGUUCUUAAAAUUCCUAUUUAAGAACCGGUUCUUAAAAUCCCUAUUUAAGAACCCGUUCUUAACUUUUUUAGUUAAAAGUUAAGAAACAGUUUCUUAACUUCCG